rnacentral:rRNA from 1 species
GACGAACGCUGGCGGCGUGCUUAACACAUGCAAGUCGAACGGAAAGGCCCUGCUUUUGUGGGGUGCUCGAGUGGCGAACGGGUGAGUAACACGUGAGUAACCUGCCCUUGACUUUGGGAUAACUUCAGGAAACUGGGGCUAAUACCGGAUAGGAGCUCCUGCUGCAUGGUGGGGGGUGGAGAGUUUCGGCGGUUGGGGAUGGACUCGCGGCUUAUCAGCUUGUUGGUGGGGUAGUGGCUUACCAAGGCUUUGACGGGUAGCCGGCCUGAGAGGGUGACCGGCCACAUUGGGACUGAGAUACGGCCCAGACUCCUACGGGAGGCAGCAGUGGGGAAUAUUGCACAAUGGGCGGAAGCCUGAUGCAGCAACGCCGCGUGCGGGAUGACGGCCUUCGGGUUGUAAACCGCUUUCGCCUGUGACGAAGCGUGAGUGACGGUAAUGGGUAAAGAAGCACCGGCUAACUACGUG